rnacentral:rRNA from 1 species
GAUGAACGCUGGCGGCGUGCCUAAUACAUGCAAGUCGAGCGAACGGACGAGAAGCUUGCUUCUCUGAUGUUAGCGGCGGACGGGUGAGUAACACGUGGAUAACCUACCUAUAAGACUGGGAUAACUUCGGGAAACCGGAGCUAAUACCGGAUAAUAUUUUGAACCGCAUGGUUCAAAAGUGAAAGACGGUCUUGCUGUCACUUAUAGAUGGAUCCGCGCUGCAUUAGCUAGUUGGUAAGGUAACGGCUUACCAAGGCAACGAUGCAUAGCCGACCUGAGAGAGUGAUCAGCCACACUGGAACUGAGACACGGUCCAGACUCCUACGAGAGGCAGCAGUAGGGUAUCUUCCGCAAUGGGCGGAAGCCUGACGGAGCAACGCCGCGUGAGUGAUGAAGGUCUUCGGAUCGUAAAACUCUGUUAUUAGGGAAGAACAUCUGUGUAAGUAACUGUGCACAUCUUGACGGUACCUAAUCAGAAAGCCACGGCUAACUACGUG